rnacentral:rRNA from 1 species
UGCGCCUUGCCAGCCCGCUCAGAAACUUAAAGGAAUUGACGGGGGCCCGCACAAGCGGCGGAGCAUGUGGAUUAAUUCGAUGCAACGCGAAGAACCUUACCUGGGUUUGACAUACACCGGAAAACCGUAGAGAUACCGGUCCCCCUUGUGGUCGGUGUACAGGUGGUGCAUGGCUGUCGUCAGCUCGUGUCGUGAGAUGUUGGGUUAAGUCCCGCAACGAGCGCAACCCUUGUCUUAUGUUGCCAGCACGUGAUGGUGGGGACUCGUAAGAGACUGCCGGGGUCAACUCGGAGGAAGGUGGGGACGACGUCAAGUCAUCAUGCCCCUUAUGUCCAGGGCUUCACACAUGCUACAAUGGCCAGUACAGAGGGCUGCGAGACCGUGAGGUGGAGCGAAUCCCUUAAAGCUGGUCUCAGUUCGGAUCGGGGUCUGCAACUCGACCCCGUGAAGUCGGAGUCGCCUAGUAAUCGCCAGAUCAAGACAACGCUGCGGUGAAUACGUUCCCGGGCCUU